CUGGAGGUAUCAGAAGUGCGAAUGCUGACAUAAGUAACGAUAAAGCGGGUGAAAAGCCCGCUCGCCGGAAGACCAAGGGUUCCUGUCCAACGUUAAUCGGGGCAGGGUGAGUCGACCCCUAAGGCGAGGCCGAAAGGCGUAGUCGAUGGGAAACGGGUUAAUAUUCCCGUACUUGGUGUUACUGCGAAGGGGGGACGGAGAAGGCUAUGUUGGCCGGGCGACGGUUGUCCCGGUUUAAGCGUGUAGGUGUGUGUUCCAGGUAAAUCCGGUUCACUUUAACACUGAGGCGUGAUGACGAGGCACUACGGUGCUGAAGCAACAAAUGCCCUGCUUCCAGGAAAAGCCUCUAAGCAUCAGGUAACAUCAAAUCGUACCCCAAACCGACACAGGUGGUCAGGUAGAGAAUACCAAGGCGCUUGAGAGAACUCGGGUGAAGGAACUAGGCAAAAUGGUGCCGUAACUUCGGGAGAAGGCACGCUGACACGUAGGUGAAGUGAUUUACUCACGGAGCUGAAGUCAGUCGAAGAUACCAGCUGGCUGCAACUGUUUAUUAAAAACACAGCACUGUGCAAACACGAAAGUGGACGUAUACGGUGUGACGCCUGCCCGGUGCCGGAAGGUUAAUUGAUGGGGUCAGCGCAAGCGAAGCUCCUGAUCGAAGCCCCGGUAAACGGCGGCCGUAACUAUAACGGUCCUAAGGUAGCGAAAUUCCUUGUCGGGUAAGUUCCGACCUGCACGAAUGGCGUAAUGAUGGCCAGGCUGUCUCCACCCGAGACUCAGUGAAAUUGAACUCGCUGUGAAGAUGCAGUGUACCCGCGGCAAGACGGAAAGACCCCGUGAACCUUUACUAUAGCUUGACACUGAACAUUGAGCCUUGAUGUGUAGGAUAGGUGGGAGGCUUUGAAGUGUGGACGCCAGUCUGCAUGGAGCCGGCCUUGAAAUACCACCCUUUAAUGUUUGAUGUUCUAACGUGGACCCGUGAUCCGGGUUGCGGACAGUGUCUGGUGGGUAGUUUGACUGGGGCGGUCUCCUCCUAAAGAGUAACGGAGGAGCACGAAGGUUGGCUAAUCCUGGUCGGACAUCAGGAGGUUAGUGCAAUGGCAUAAGCCAGCUUGACUGCGAGCGUGACGGCGCGAGCAGGUGCGAAAGCAGGUCAUAGUGAUCCGGUGGUUCUGAAUGGAAGGGCCAUCGCUCAACGGAUAAAAGGUACUCCGGGGAUAACAGGCUGAUACCGCCCAAGAGUUCAUAUCGACGGCGGUGUUUGGCACCUCGAUGUCGGCUCAUCACAUCCUGGGGCUGAAGUAGGUCCCAAGGGUAUGGCUGUUCGCCAUUUAAAGUGGUACGCGAGCUGGGUUUAGAACGUCGUGAGACAGUUCGGUCCCUAUCUGCCGUGGGCGCUGGAGAACUGAGGGGGGCUGCUCCUAGUACGAGAGGACCGGAGUGGACGCAUCACUGGUGUUCGGGUUGUCAUGCCAAUGGCACUGCCCGGUAGCUAAAUGCGGAAGAGAUAAGUGCUGAAAGCAUCUAAGCACGAAACUUGCCCCGAGAUGAGUUCUCCCUGAGACUUAGAGUCUCCUGAAGGAACGUUGAAGACGACGACGUUGAUAGGCCGGGUGUGUAAGCGCAGCGAUGCGUUGAGCUAACCGGUACUAAUGAACCGUGAGGCUUAACCUUACAACGCCG
rnacentral:rRNA from 1 species